AUUGAACGCUGGCGGCAUGCUUUACACAUGCAAGUCGAACGGCAGCGCGGGCUUCGGCCUGGCGGCGAGUGGCGAACGGGUGAGUAAUGCAUCGGAACGUGCCCAGUAGUGGGGGAUAGCCCGGCGAAAGCCGGAUUAAUACCGCAUACGACCUGAGGGUGAAAGCGGGGGACCGAAAGGCCUCGCGCUAUUGGACCGGCCGAUGUCGGAUUAGCUAGUUGGUGGGGGAAAGGCUUACCAAGGCGACGAUCCGUAGCUGGUCUGAGAGGACGACCAGCCACACUGGGACUGAGACACGGCCCAGACUCCUACGGGAGGCAGCAGUGGGGAAUUUUGGACAAUGGGGGCAACCCUGAUCCAGCCAUGCCGCGUGCGGGAAGAAGGCCUUCGGGUUGUAAACCGCUUUUGUUCGGGAAGAAAUCCUCUGGGCUAAUACCCCGGGGGGAUGACGGUACCGGAAGAAUAAGCACCGGCUAACUACGUG
rnacentral:rRNA from 1 species